rnacentral:antisense_RNA from 1 species
CCUGCGGCGCGCGCUGCCAGCCCGAGGGCCCCGCCGUCCAGGGGUCCUCUGACAUCUCACACAUGCGGACUGAAGCUGCGAGGAGCGGGAACCUGGCCAGGGUCACGGACGGGAGGGUCCGGACUCGAGUUCUCUGGGCCCCAGCCCCCGCUCCGCCCCCAGCGAAUCCAAGGUCUCCUGUAGGGAAGGGCCGUCCACUCUCCCCAUCCCUUACUGGCUGCAUCCACUGAAGCCCAGACCUGCUGCCUGCAGGACCUCACCCAGGCACCAGGUCGUGCCUGGCGCCUCCUUGAUGCCAGGCCCUGGGGAGACCCGUGGCCACAAAACACAUGUUCUCCCUAGAGGUGGACAGCACGCCCCUCUCUUACGAAGAAGCUGUCGUUCUUUCUUCUUUGCCCGUCCCUCCGCCCACCGACCCAUCUCUGC